CCGCCCCUCCCCCUCCCUCUCCUCCUCCGCCGCUGCCGUUCAUCUCCUCCAGGAGCCUUGGCCUCUCCGAAUCCACCGAUUUCGAUCACUGUCGGCCGGACCGCAGAUGGUAGAGGGCAGCGGAGCAAGCAAGCAAGGCGUUGGUGUUGAUUGCGUCGGAAUGGGGCAGCGGCGGGCAAUUGCUUUUCCAAGCGUGAGGCUGAGAGCCGCGAGGUUUGGGGGCUUGGGGCCGUAUCAAUUUCUUCGGGGCGGGGGCGCCACAUCGGAUGCUGACAUGGCCGGUUCUUG
rnacentral:lncRNA from 7 species